GCCUUCGUGGUGUAAUGGUUAGCACACUGAGCCGGUAUUUCAGAGGUCCGUGGUUCGAUCCCCGGCGAAGGAA
rnacentral:tRNA from 1 species